rnacentral:lncRNA from 1 species
AUAAAUGGCAGAGACUUUUCCCUAAAUGGGUUACUUGAUUUAAGAGCUGCUGGCUAAUUUUGGUUGGAUAAUUUAAUAGAAGAGGGAAGAGGAAAGGAAAGAAAGGGGCUUGAAGAAAGAGGAAGAGAAAAGAAACACAAGGAUGGAGAACAAGGAGAGACCAUUUGUUCUCAAACAGUAGCUGCCACUUCCAGCUGGGAGAGAAAUGAGAGCUCUGUUCAUGGUGAUCCAGUAUCUCCAGAAUCCAUCACCACUGCUGACCUCCCACUCCAUGUCUCCAAGUGCUCUGCUAUACCUGCCACCAGCAGCUGCCACCUCCAGACUUUGGAACGUUAUAAUAAAACCUCUGUUCUACAAUCUGCCUUCUGCUUCGACAUCCUCACUCCCCACAAACAAUUCUAAUAAACAGCAAUUAAUCUGA